GUCUUGCUCGCUGGGAGAAGGAUCUGCAAGAACCAGCAGACAGGCAACAUGAACAUUGAUAAGGAACUGAAAUAUUCCAGAGCACGUACGGAAGAAAAGGCGACUCCUUAUGCUCCGCUGGCGGUUAAUGCUGACCCCACACUCUGAUAACAAUGGAAAUUGACA